GGGCGGGUAGCGUAGUGGUCAGCGCGUUUACUAAACCCGCCUGAGCGUUGAUUUGUCAGGCUGAGCGUUGUUUAGCGAGAAGGCCUGGGUUCGAAUCCCAGCCCGCCCA